UGGGGGGCAACCCUGAACGAGCAAUGCCGCGUGAGCGAAGAAGGUCUUCGGAUUGUAAAGCUCUGUUGCCGGGGAAAAAGGAAGGAAAGAGGAAAUGCUUUUCUUUGGAUGGUACCCGGCCAGAAAGUCACGGCUAACUACGUCGCC
rnacentral:rRNA from 1 species